GGGACCCCACGUCAUGCCAAACAACAGAACCUUAUUACCUAACAGUUCUGAAAUGUAGAUGUUGGUUGAGCGGGACCCCACGUCAUGCCAAACAACAGAACCUUAUUACCUAACAGUUCUGAAAUGUAGAUGUUGGUUGAGCGGGACCCCAUUUGAAGCCCCAAGGAGUGGGUGAACUUCCCGUGUAUCUUCAGCAGUCCCUUGGCUUAUGGUUCUGGCUCCUGCCCCUGCCUUUCUUUCUCCUGGAUCUUUAUUAAUAUGGAAGAAUUGAGAGAAGCUGAGUUUCUCCGUGAAAUCCAACCUCUGUGAAAAUCCAGCACUCUUUGCAUGCAUAGUCGCCGAUCUGCCACGGCUGCCCACAAGCAUCCCAGGGUGAAAAAUCUCUCAGUCUAUUAACAGAGACAGAAAGGAACCUGUUCAAAAGCACUGUGCAUGACUGCUUGGAGAGGAAAGAGCUCAUUUAUCACGUUGCCCCAGGAGGUCACAGUGAUUGUCACAGCAUACCCAGACUGGCUCAACCUCAAGCAAGACAACAUCCCAGCGUGGGAAGGGGAGGUAGGUUGGCAUGAGACCACCACCAGCGGAGGAGCCAUUAGCAAUUGGUAGCUACUAUGAGAGGAAGGACCAGUUUCCUUCAAUGAUGUGAUUCUUGGUCCAGGCAAGAAGGUAGGGAUGAGGAUGCUCAACAAAGAGAGUAUUCGGCUAAAGACACAUUGACAGCCAAGGUCAGCACCUACUUUUUUUUCUAGCUUCCUCUGGAGAAGGCUCAAAACCAAGUGCCCAAAAUUUUUGGGAAGAAACCCAGGUGCCAGCUCAAGAUGAUGGGGAAGAAGCAGGAUUCUGCUGGAGUUGACACUGCUGUACUACACAGACCUCAUCUGAUGUCCUGCCUGAUGGCUUCAGUGCAGGCAAACUACUUGUUCAGCCAUGAAGUUUGCCUGGCCCAUCUUUCACUAUUUCCGGCACAUAGGUUUGGAGGUUCCUUUUAAAAACUGGACUGUGUGUGUUUUACCGAUGCUUUCCAUGUCUACUUCUAAAGCUCAUGUUAUCUCCCUCUAGUUGGUUAUGGCCUGUGCAUCAGUCAUUACACUCCUUCUAGAUCUGCCAUAGAACAAACAAAUUUGGGGGAAAUGUAACUGGAAAUCAACACUUGGUGAUUGAGGGAAGCUUUGAAGUAUUUCAAACUCACCCAAAUGAUGACCCGAGCAUUGAGAGCACUUGUGUUCAACCUUUAUUAAAUCUUUCAACUCUGUAUUAUUUACCUGCUGGUAACCUCAGAGCUUGAACAAAUAUACAGGACAUCUAUUGAUACUAAAAACAUUCCAGAAUCAAGCAGCAGGAGGCUGUCAGGCAAUGUUCUUCUUUCUGCCUCAUCAUCUGAAGGCAACUGUUCUUUUUGAGGUUUAGGAAAGUCUGAACCAAGUGAGCAGGUUACAGAGAAUGCCGGGAAGAUGGAGAGAGGACCUCUGUGGGCAUCAGGAGGGAUGUGGCAAAGGAAUUUCCCUUUAAGAGCAGAGGUUGGGAAUUUCCACAUGAGUUCACAGAUUUCUAGACUGAUUAGUAUCUUUAAAUUAGUCUCUAGAGAGGUUGCAACCCAGAAGUGUGUGAGCAUCCCUGUCUCACAACCUCACCUUCAUGUACUCCGUGCUCUCAAGCCUUCUGGUCUGUUUUCUAUCAAGCACUAAUUUCAGGUAUUACCAAAAAGUCUGAUCUCCAAUAAAACCUAUGACCUUCUGAA